rnacentral:rRNA from 1 species
GCUUAGUGAGGAGCAAUCCUCGCUAAACUAAACUUACAUACUAGACCACAUAACUAAGUUGAAGGUUGACAUUUUCUAAAUUUUCAACGAUGGAUGUCUAGGCUCCCAUAACGAUGAAGAACGCAGCGAGAAUGCGAUAUGCAAUGUGAAUUGCAGAACUACGAAUCAUUUGAUCUUUGAACGCAAAUGGCGCUGGCUCAUGCCAGUAUACUUGUUUCAGUGUGCCUAACCAAAUCAAACACAAUGUGGGAGAUAACUCUCCUAUAAAAUACAUGCUCCGAGUAGCAGUCACAUUCAUAUGUGAGCUAUCCGUGAGGCUUGUGUCUUAUUCGCACCUGAAAUCAAGUAAGAUCACCCGCUGGACUUAAGCAUAUUACUAAGCGGAGGAGAAGAAAUUAACUAAGAUUGCCUUAAUAAGGGCGACUGAACCGGCAAAAGCUCGAAAUUAAAAUCGGGAAUUCAAUGAAUUUUCCAAUUGUAAUCAGGGUUGCCUAAAUAACG